rnacentral:lncRNA from 10 species
UUCAAACAAAUCCAAAACUUAUUUUUGUUUAUAGAAACAAGACAACACACAGUAAAAUUGAGGAAAUACAAUAGUUUUUUCAAUAUAGUACCACAAGCCAUUUUUUCUGUAAAGGACCAAAUAUUAGAUACUAUCACAAAACAUUUUAUCACUCAUUCAAAACAAGAAUCAUUCAGUUGCCCCAGGAAAAAACACACUGAAAUUAUUUUAGAUAGCAUAAUAAGCUAGAGGAUAUAGAACAUUUGAAAAACAGUUCCAAAAAAUGGAAUACUAAAGAUGCAACAUUAAUUCUUAGUACAUUUGUUAUGGUAAUGAAUUAAAGCAUUAUAGAAUAUAUUCAAGUCAGAAAUCCUGUAGUAUGAAGACAAUAUUCUUAAAAUGCUUAUGUAUACAAUGGAAUCUUAAAAUGUGUGUGAUUCGAACCAUUUACACUGUCUUAAGCACUCAAAAGAAAGAAACUGUCUUCUGAAUAGUUCCUAAAUUUUGGCUCAAAUCGGCUGAGGUCCAAUUCUAACGGAGAAUCAUUCUCUAAUACUUACUGUCCUAUGUUACUUAUGAUUCCAAAUGUUGUCAACAAUACUGAGUAGUACCAAAAGGGCUGGAUGGAGGGGGUGGGCAGGGAUACAGUGGCUGCUUCUGCAUUUCCAGAACUAGCAUCCCAGACGGCCCUGUCCUGGGCUUCCUCUAAAUAAAGCUAUUGCCUCCAAUAUGAAUAACCAUAAGGCUCCAAUUAACAUGGGUUUGUCUAACCUCUGAUAUUUGGGGUGAAGGAUUAGGUUUAAUUUCUCCCUGGUUGGCAUCUAACUAAAUUUUAGGUAGAGCCAAACUCUGAAGCCAUAAUUUAACACUCUGAAAGUCCAAUUAAGUUACAAAAACAUAGGCUUUAGAGUCUGAAAACAUCAAACUUUAACCUAAUCGGGUUUCUUGUGUAAUAACAGAUGAAAGUUGUUUCUUAAUCAUUAGUAGUUGUCCAUUCUAGAAACUGUAAUAAGCUUGGCAGGGUCCUGUGUAUCAUUAAGACUGCUUAGUAUUUUUUUCUCUAAAACCAUACCCUUCCCGAAAUCAUGGCAUAAGACUUGUUUGAUGAUGAUAGAAAUUCUAUAUGUAAAACAAGUAUAUAAUUAACCCAAGAAUUUCACUGAUUUCCUUCACAAUUGUGUUCCAAAUGAAAUUUCAAAAUAAAAGCCAAGUAGUUUUACACUUUAGAAUACAUGCUCCAAAAUUAACCCAUUAAGCACUUAAUAAUGCACUCUAAAUUGUUUAUUUACCAUCAUCAGUUAAUAUUCAUCAAAUGCCCAACUGAUUAGUUUCUCCCUACUGGACAUUUUUUAUAUAUCACAUUCCUAAUACCCAUAUAGAGGCAUUAAAAUUGUGUACUUGCAGGAUCUUCCCACUGUUAACUGUGAAAAAUAAAAUAAGGUGCUGCAACACAUUUUUUUCUUGACUGUAAGCUGUUAUUUGGCAUAAUAUCUCAGGUCUUCUCUUUAGUCAAGAAAAGGAAAACUUCCCUUCCCGGAAUACUUUUUCAGUUUCUCUUCUUCUGAAACAGACAGGCAGGUAGAUUCCUUCCAAUCUGAAAUAUUGUUUUGAGAUAUGUGGCGUCCAUUUCUGGGUACAUAACAUUGAGAAAAUUUAGCAACCAGACAGAUGAAACUUCUCAGCCUAAACCGCAGAGAAUAAGACCAUGUAUUUGCCUAGUGCAGAACUAGCACCCAGAUCUCAUGUUUCCCCAGCCCAUUUUCUACUGUCUCAUCUCCCAAUACAUUUAAAAGGAGAAAAUACAACUGGGUAGGGUGAUAUGCACUUUUUUUUGUGAGCUGUUCUCAGAAAUAACAUUCAAAUUGAAUUGUUUUGCUUGGGGGUACAUAUCAACAUUUUGAAGCAAGAUCUAUAGGUUCUGAGGUUCUUACUUUGGAAAUGGAUUUAGAAAAAAAUGGGUUCAUCUUAGUUCCAAACCAAAAAGCUUUAGUUUUUGAACUAUCAAAGAGUUGUUAAAAGGACUGACAGUCUUCGAGUGCUGGGUUACUGAGAUGCUACUCUAACUCAAAUAAUGAAUUAAUUAAUUUAGUUAUGGCUUAUAUUGGACAGUACCCUUUAAGAGACAUAUUUGUUAUUUUUAGAAAGAAGAAUUUGAAAACCUAGGGAGUCCCUAGGUUUAUAAUCUCUAUAAAGCAUUUGGAAACAUGUUUUUAGGCCUAUCAAUACAAGGAGCCUAAGGGCUGAGAAUUUCAAAAGGCAGAAGAAUGAAGAGGAGUGAAGUUAUCGCUUCCGGGUUCUCACAGUGCUAUCCAGUUCUCAUUUUCUUAUCUACAAAGGUAAAAAAAGAAACUCAAUAAUACUAUUAAAACCAUGCUGGCCAACAUGGUGAAACCCCAUCUCUACUAAAAAUAUAAAAAUUAGCUGGGUGUGGUGGCACAUGCAUAUAGUCCCAGCUACUCGGGAGGCUGAGGCAGGAGAAUCGCUUGAACCCAGGAAGCGGAGGUUGCAGUGAGCCGAGAUCACGCCACUGCACUCCAGCCUGGCAAAAGAGCAAGACUCUGUUUCAAAAAAAAAAAAAGCAACUAUUACUUCCUCUUAAGGAUGCAAAAUAUUUAUGAUGUAUCCUCAAAUCAUUGCAUGAUCUCUAAGAAGAAGAAGCAGCCAGACAAAAUAGCUAGGAAAAAAAUCACUGAGUUCCAUUAAUGAAAAAUGUAAUAACAGCAAAGUAGUGUAAUUGGUCUCCGUUUAAAAAUGGAAAAAAUUGAUGCUUGUGGGUGGCUUUGAUCUACCUGCAUUCAAAGAAAAGCAAGUUCUGUCUUUAAAUUGGAAAACUUUAGUCAGGCAGGAGAAGUCAAGCUGAGCAGUCACUGGAAAUGUUGUCCAAUGAAUCAGCGAUCUAUAUUUAAAUUUUAGGAUUUUAUAUCCCAGCCAUGAAAUGAACCAAUUCUAGUUAAUGAAAAAUAAACUGGAAAACAUCUGUGCAAUUUUGGAGAUCCCAAGGCUAUAAUAAAAGCAACUGCUAGCAUGUGUAUAGUACUUUACUAUUUCUGAAGCUCUUUUAACAUAUUUGAUUUCAUUUAGUCCUUACAACAACCCUGUGAGGUAAGUGUUAUCAACCCCACGGUAAGUCAAGGAAACAGAGGCUUUAUAUGUGUUUAAGAAACUUGCCUAAAGUUGUGGAUUUAAUAAUGAAGGAAGCCAGUCUGGGCACAGAGCAGUUCUCUUUCCAUCUGUCACCCAUGUCCCAACCCUGUCUCAUCUCUGCUUUGCAAUUGUUAGAUGAGUGAGAGAUUGGAAAGACAAAGCUAUUUUUAAUUAAACAUGUUGGGACACUUUAUAUCCUGAGUCACUCUUUAGGAUACUCAUAUUAUGAAUCUGAAUUCCCCAAACAUGAAGAUAAUGAUCUUGUUAAUGUCCAGCAUAGCACAGGAUACCCUUGUAACACUGAUCAAAAUACGUUUACAAUGUCCAAGAGAAAGUCCAGAGUACCUUAAGCAAUCCUUUUCUACUCUUUUAAUAAAAUUUGGCUUUCCUUAUACAAAUCUGACUUUAAAACAACCUCGCAGUGGGGGAAAAAAGAUAUUUUUGGCCAGUCAACAUUUCCUCUCACCUUCAGCAUCUCAGUUUUCAUGCUUUUCUUGACCAAUAAUAUGUGAGGAACCAAAAGGAGGUACCAUCCCAUCUCCUGGACACUGUUUAAGGCUGCAUUUUCUGAUGCACAAAUUAAUUUUAAUGGAUGAAAACAUAAUUUCUCUGAAGUUUUCUCUGAAUAUUAAGACUGAUGAUGAGCUCUCUUUGUUCAGAAAUAGUGCCGCAUUUUAUGUGACUUUUAAACCAAUCAAGUCUUACUUAUGUUAGAAAUGAAAAUAAAAGAAACUAACAACAAAAUAUAAAGCUAGGGUGGUUAUGAUUUUUCCUUUAAAAAUAUAACUUCUGUUGUAUUUCUGGGAAUCAGACCUGCAUAUUUUAGUACAGCAUGUUUCCAUUAAUAUUCCAUACAAAAUAAUGUCUAGUUUUUGGUAGCAAUAUGAAAAUGCAACUAGAAACACAGUCUCAUACACAAUGAAUUGAUUUAUGGUUAUAUUAA